rnacentral:rRNA from 1 species
GAUGAACGCUGGCGGCGUGCCUAAUACAUGCAAGUCGAGCGAACAGACGAGGAGCUUGCUCCUCUGAUGUUAGCGGCGGACGGGUGAGUAACACGUGGAUAACCUACCUAUAAGACUGGGAUAACUUCGGGAAACCGGAGCUAAUACCGGAUAACAUGGUGAACCGCAUGGUUCAACAGUGAAAGACGGUCUUGCUGUCACUUAUAGAUGGAACCGCGCCGCAUUAGCUAGUUGGUAAGGUAACGGCUUACCAAGGCAACGAUGCGUAGCCGACCUGAGAGGGUGAUCAGCCACACUGGAACUGAGACACGGUCCAGACUCCUACGGGAGGCAGCAGUAGGGAAUAUUCCGCAAUGGGCGAAAGCCUGACGGAGCAACGCCGCGUGAGUGAAGAAGGUCUUCGGAUCGUAAAACUCUGUUAUUAGGGAAGAACAAAUGUGUAAGUAACUAUGCACGUCUUGACGGUACCUACUCAGAAAGCCACGGCUAACUACGUG